UGGGGAAUAUUGCACAAUUGGCGCAAGCCUGAUGCAGCCAUGCCGCGUGUAUGAAGAAGGCCUUCGGGUUGUAAAGUACUUUCAGCGGGGAGGAAGGGAGUAAAGUUAAUACCUUUGCUCAUUGACGUUACCCGCAGAAGAAGCACCGGCUAACUCCGUGCCAGCAGCCGCGGUAAUACGGAGGGUGCAAGCGUUAAUCGGAAUUACUGGGCGUAAAGCGCACGCAGGCGGUUUGUUAAGUCAGAUGUGAAAUCCCCGGGCUCAACCUGGGAACUGCAUCUGAUACUGGCAAGCUUGAGUCUCGUAGAGGGGGGUAGAAUUCCAGGUGUAGCGGUGAAAUGCGUAGAGAUCUGGAGGAAUACCGGUGGCGAAGGCGGCCCCCUGGACAAAGACUGACGCUCAGGUGCGAAAGCGUGGGGAGCAAACAGG
rnacentral:rRNA from 1 species